GAUGAACGCUGGCGGCGUGCUUAACACAUGCAAGUCGAACGGGAAACCUUUUAUUGAAGCUUCGGCAGAUUUAGAUUGUUUCUAGUGGCGGACGGGUGAGUAACGCGUGGGUAACCUGCCUUAUACAGGGGGAUAACAGUCAGAAAUGACUGCUAAUACCGCAUAAGCGCACAGAGCUGCAUGGCUCGGUGUGAAAAACUCCGGUGGUAUAAGAUGGACCCGCGUUGGAUUAGCUAGUUGGUGAGGUAACGGCCCACCAAGGCGACGAUCCAUAGCCGGCCUGAGAGGGUGAACGGCCACAUUGGGACUGAGACACGGCCCAGACUCCUACGGGAGGCAGCAGUGGGGAAUAUUGCACAAUGGGGGAAACCCUGAUGCAGCGACGCCGCGUGAAGGAAGAAGUAUCUCGGUAUGUAAACUUCUAUCAGCAGGGAAGAA
rnacentral:rRNA from 1 species